rnacentral:rRNA from 1 species
UCAAGCGCGAGAAGGGCGUUUGGUGGAUGCCUUGGCAGUAAGAGGCGAUGAAGGACGUGAUACUCUGCGAUAAGCUUUGGGAAGUCGAGAAUAGACGCUAUACCCAAAGAUCUCCGAAUGGGGCAACCCAACUGAUACUUUGUUAUUGUUACACUUUGUGUAAUCAAUAAUGGGGUAAAACAGUUAUUAAUUACCUGAAUACAUAGGGUUUUUAAAGCAAACCUGGGGAACUGAAACAUCUAAGUACCCAGAGGAAAGGAAAUCAAUAGAUACUCCCGUAGUAGUGGCGAGCGAACCGGGACCAGCCGAGCAAUGAAUGUGACUAGAACCAGUUGGAAAGCUGGGCGAUAUGGGUGACAGCCCCGUAUAGGAAGCAUGAUUUGACGUAUUAAGUAGGGCGGAACACGUGAAAUUCUGUCUGAACAUGGGGGGACCACCCUCUAAGGCUAAGUACUCCUUACUGACCGAUAGCGAACCAGUACCGUGAGGGAAAGGUGAAAAGCACCCCGACGAGGGGAGUGAAACAGUUUCUGAAACCGGACGCCUACAAACAGUUGGAGCCUCUUUAUGGGGUGACAGCGUACCUUUUGUAUAAUGGGUCAACGACUUGGUCUUACUAGCAAGCUUAAGCCGAUAGGUGUAGGCGCAGCGAAAGCGAGUCUUAAUAGGGCGAAUGAGUUAGUAGGAUCAGACCCGAAACCGAGUGAUCUAGGCAUGAGCAGGUUGAAGGUAAGGUAACACUUACUGGAGGACCGAACCCACAUCUGUUGAAAAAGAUCGGGAUGACUUGUGCCUAGGGGUGAAAGGCCAAUCAAACUCGGAGAUAGCUGGUUCUCCGCGAAAUCUAUUUAGGUAGAGCGUCGCACGAAUACCUUGGGGGGUAGAGCACUGAAUGGGUAAUGGGGACUCACCGUCUUACUGAUCCUAAUCAAACUCCGAAUACCCAAGAGUAAUAUGCGGCAGACACACUGCGGAUGCUAACGUCCGUAGUGGAGAGGGAAACAACCCUGACCCUCAGCUAAGGCCCCUAAUUCAUGGCUAAGUGGGAAAGCAGGUGGGACGACCAAAACAACCAGGAAGUUGGCUUAGAAGCAGCCAUCUUUUAAAGAUAGCGUAACAGCUCACUGGUCUAAUUUAAGUUAUCCUGCGGCGAAGAUGUACCGGGGCUCAAGCCAUGAGCCGAAGCUAGGGAUGCAAUUUAUUGCAUGGUAGCGGAGCGUUCUGUGAUAUAGAACGCUGCGUCUUUAGUAUCUUAGGAUAUUUUGGACGCAAUGUUCUGACUGUGAAGCCGGCGCGUAAGCGAUCCGGUGGAGUGAUCAGAAGUGAGAAUGUUGACAUGAGUAGCGACAAACAGGGUGAGAGACCCUGUCGCCGAAAGUCCAAGGGUUCCUGCUUAAAGCUAAUCUGAGCAGGGUAAGCCGACCCCUAAGGCGAGGCCGAAAGGCGUAGUCGAUGGGAACCAGUUUAAUAUUACUGGGCCAGGAGAUGGUGACGGAUCGAAAGCGUAGUGACUCCUUAUCGGAUUGAAGUUGCUGCCGGACGGUUCCUGGAAAUAGCCCUCCAUUAGAUCGUACCCUAAACCAACACAGGUGGACUGGUAGAGAAUACCAAGGCGCUUGAGAGAACUACAUUGAAGGAACUCGGCAAAAUGCCUCCGUAAGUUCGCGAGAAGGAGGCCCCAUCAGAAGGCAACUUUUGGUGGGGGGCACAGACCAGGGGGUGGCGACUGUUUACUAAAAACACAGGGCUCUGCGAAGUCGUAAGACGACGUAUAGGGUCUGACGCCUGCCCGGUGCUGGAAGGUUAAGAGGAGGUGUGCAAGCACUGAAUUGAAGCCCCAGUAAACGGCGGCCGUAACUAUAACGGUCCUAAGGUAGCGAAAUUCCUUGUCGGGUAAG